rnacentral:rRNA from 1 species
GAUGAACGCUGGCGGCGUGCCUAAUACAUGCAAGUCGAGCGAACAGACGAGGAUCUUGCUCCUCUGACGUUAGCGGCGGACGGGUGAGUAACACGUGGAUAACCUACCUAUAAGACUGGGAUAACUUCGGGAAACCGGAUCUAAUACCGGAUAAUAUCUUGAACCGCAUGGUUCAAUAGUGAAAGACGGUUUUGCUGUCACUUAUCGAUGGAUCCGCGCCGCAUUAGCUAGUUGGUAAGGUAACGGCUUACCAAGGCAACGAUGCGUAGCCGACCUGAGGGGGUGAUCGGCCACACUGGAACUGAGACACGGUCCAGACUCCUACGAGAGGCAGCAGUAGGGAAUCUUCCGCAAUGGGCGAAAGCCUGACGGAGCAACGCCGCGUGAGUGAUGAAGGUCUUCGGAUCGUAAAACUCUGUUAUUAGGGAAGAACAAAUGUGUAAGUAACUAUGCACGUCUUGACGGUACCUAAUCAGAAAGCCACGGCUAACUACGUG